rnacentral:rRNA from 1 species
GAUGAACGCUGGCGGCGUGCCUAAUACAUGCAAGUCGAACGAGGUGCUUUUGUAGCAAUACGAAAGUAUCCUAGUGGCGAACGGGUGAGUAACGCGUUGGUGACCUACCCCAAAGUGUGGGAUAACAGUUCGAAAGAACUGCUAAUACCGCAUGUGGUUAUCGGGUUUAGAAACUGAUAACUAAAGGAGCAAUUCGCUUUGGGAGGGACCUGCGUCCCAUCAGCUAGUUGGUGAGGUAAUGGCUCACCAAGGCUACGACGGGUAGGGGACCUGAGAGGGUGGCCCCCCACAAUGGAACUGAAACACGGUCCAUACACCUACGGGUGGCAGCAGUAGGGAAUAUUGCACAAUGGGCGAAAGCCUGAUGCAGCAACGCCGCGUGUGCGAUGAAGGCCUGGUCGUAAGACGACUUUCUUGAGAGA